UCUGGUAGCAAUAGCGAAGAGGUCACACCUGUUCCCAUGCCGAACACAGAAGUUAAGCUCUUCAGCGCCGAUGGUAGUUGGGGCUUUGCCCCUGCAAGAG
rnacentral:rRNA from 1 species